rfam:Triticum urartu cultivar G1812 contig1246621, whole genome shotgun sequence.
GGCAACAAUGACUCAAUGAGAGUAUUAGCAGACUUGUAAUUAUUCUUACGGGAAUAAUCAGAAGAUUCAAAUCACAUCCAAGGGAUUGAGUUGUA